ACGGAAGGCAGCAGUGGGGAAUAUUGCACAAUUGGCGCACGCCUGAUGCAGCAACGCCGCGUGAGGGAAGACGGUUUUCGGAUUGUAAACCUCUGUUCUUAGUGACGAAGAAGUGACGGUAGCUAAGGAGCAAGCCACGGCUAACUACGUGCCAGCAGCCGCGGUAAUACGUAGGUGGCAAGCGUUAUCCGGAAUUACUGGGUGUAAAGGGAGCGCAGGCGGGAUAGCAAGUCAGCGGUGAAAUGUAUGGGCUUAACCCAUGAACUCACGUUGAAACUGUUAUUCUUGAGUGGAGUAGAGGCAGGCGGAAUUCCGAGUGUAGCGGUGAAAUGCGUAGAUAUUGGGAGGAACACCAGUGUCGAAGGCGGCCUGCUGGGCUCUAACUGACGCUGAGGCUCGAAAGUGUGGGGAGCAAAUAGGAUUCGAUACCCUGGUA
rnacentral:rRNA from 1 species